GAUUUCAACUGAAAAAGUCAUCAACAACAAAGUUGUAUAACUCAUCAAGAUCUAUAACUUUUAUUUUGGUCAUUUCUUCAUCCGACAAAAUGAUAGUAACAUUGUUCACAAAACUCACAUAUCUCUCAUCUGGUUUCAUAAACUAUAACGCAGAUAUGUAAAUUUUGUGAACAAUGUUACAUAUCUGCGUUAUAGUUUAUGAAACCAGAUGAGAGAUAUGUGAGUUUUGUGAACAAUGUUACUAACACUUUGUCGGAUUAAGAAAUGUCAAAAAUAAAAGUUAUAGAUCUUGAUGAGUUAUAACAACUUUUUUUUUGUUGAUGACUUUUUAGUUGAAAUC
rnacentral:pre_miRNA from 1 species